AGUGAACGCUGGCGGUAGGCCUAACACAUGCAAGUCGAACGGCAGCACAGUAAGAGCUUGCUCUUACGGGUGGCGAGUGGCGGACGGGUGAGGAAUACAUCGGAAUCUACUUUUUCGUGGGGGAUAACGUAGGGAAACUUACGCUAAUACCGCAUACGACCUACGGGUGAAAGCAGGGGAUCUUCGGACCUUGCGCGAUUGAAUGAGCCGAUGUCGGAUUAGCUAGUUGGCGGGGUAAAGGCCCACCAAGGCGACGAUCCGUAGCUGGUCUGAGAGGAUGAUCAGCCACACUUGAACUGAGGCACGGUCCAGACUCCUAAGGGAGGCCGCAGUGGGGAAUAUUGGGCAAUGGGGGGAAGCCUUAUCCAACCAUACCGCGUGGGUUGAAGAGGCCUUCGGGUUUUAAAACCCUUUUUUUGGGAAAGAAAAACAGCAAGUUAAUACCCCGCUGUUCUGACGGUACCCAAAGGAUAAGCAACGGCUAACUUCGUU
rnacentral:rRNA from 1 species